rnacentral:rRNA from 1 species
ACGGAGGAUCCGAGCGUUAUCCGGAUUUAUUGGGUUUAAAGGGUGCGUAGGCGGCCUUUUAAGUCAGCGGUGAAAGUCUGUGGCUCAACCAUAGAAUUGCCGUUGAAACUGGGAGGCUUGAGUAUGUUUGAGGCAGGCGGAAUGCGUGGUGUAGCGGUGAAAUGCUUAGAUAUCACGCAGAACCCCGAUUGCGAAGGCAGCCUGCCAAGCCAUGACUGACGCUGAUGCACGAAAGCGUGGGGAUCAAACAG